AGUGAACGCUGGCGGUAGGCCUAACACAUGCAAGUCGAACGGCAGCACAGGAGAGCUUGCUCUCUGGGUGGCGAGUGGCGGACGGGUGAGGAAUACAUCGGAAUCUACUCUGUCGUGGGGGAUAACGUAGGGAAAUUUACGAUAAUACCGCAUACGACCUACGGGGGAAAGCAGGGGACCUUCGGGCCUUGCGCGAUUGAAUGAGCCGAUGUCGGAUUAGCUAGUUGGCGGGGUAAAGGCCCACCAAGGAGACGAUCCGUAGCUGGUCUGAGAGGAUGAUCAGCCACACUGGAACUGAGACACGGUCCAGACUCCUACGGGAGGCAGCAGUGGGGAAUAUUGGACAAUGGGCGCAAGCCUGAUCCAGCCAUACCGCGUGGGUGAAGAAGGCCUUCGGGUUGUAAAGCCCUUUUGUUGGGAAAGAAAUCCAGCUGGCUAAUACCCGGUUGGGAUGACGGUACCCAAAGAAUAAGCACCGGCUAACUUCGUGCCAGCCGCCGCUGUAA
rnacentral:rRNA from 1 species